AUUGAACGCUAGCGGGAUGCCUAACACAUGCAAGUCGAACGGAGUGGCGAACGGGUGAGUAAUGUAUCGGAACGUGCCCAGUAGCGGGGGAUAACUACGCGAAAGCGUAGAUAAUACCGCAUACUCUUAGAGCGGCCGAUAUCGGAUUGGCUAGUUGGUGGGGUAAAGGCUAAACAAGGCGACGAUCCGUAGCUGGUUUGAGAGGACGACCAGACACACUGGGACUGAGACACGGUCCAGACUCCUACGGGAGGCAGCAGUGGGGAAUAUUGGACAAUGGGGGAAACCCUGAUCCAGCCAUCCCGCGUGUGUGAUGAAGGCCUUCGGGUUGUAAAGCACUUUUGGCUGGAAAGCGGUACCUGCAGAAUAAGCACCGGCUAACUACGUGCCAGCCGCCGCGGUAAUAC
rnacentral:rRNA from 1 species